rnacentral:rRNA from 1 species
UGGUUAAAGCCUUCGGGCGGUAGAAGAUGGCCAUGCGCCCCAUUAGCUGGAUGGUAAGGUAACGGCUUACCAUGGCUACGAUGGGUAGGGGCCCUGAGAGGGGGAUCCCCCACACUGGUACUGAGACACGGACCAGACUCCUACGGGAGGCAGCAGUGAGGAAUAUUGGACAAUGGAGGAGACUCUGAUCAGCCAUGCCGCGUGCAGGAAGAAUGCCCUAUGGGUAGUAAACUGCUUUUAUACGGGAAGAAAAAGGGCUACGUGUAGCCUGUUGACGGUACCGUAAGAAUAAGGACCGGCUAACUCCGUGCCAGCAGCCGCGGUAAUACGGAGGGUCCGAGCGUUAUCCGGAAUUAUUGGGUUUAAAGGGUCCGUAGGCGGGCCGGUAAGUCAGUGGUGAAAGUCUGUAGCUCAACUAUAGAAUUGCCUUUGAUACUGCUGGUCUUGAGUUAUGGUGAAGUUGCCGGAAUAUGUAGUGUAGCGGUGAAAUGCAUAGAUAUUACAUAGAACACCGAUUGCGAAGGCAGGUGACUAACCAUAUACUGACGCUGAUGGACGAAAGCGUGGGGAGCGAACAGGAUUAGAUACCCUGGUAGUCCACGCCGUAAACGAUGGAUACUAGCUGUCCGGGUCCUUGAGGCCUGGGCGGCCAAGCGAAAGUGAUAAGUAUCCCACCUGGGGAGUACGUUCGCAAGAAUGAAACUCAAAGGAAUUGACGGGGGCCCGCACAAGCGGUGGAGCAUGUGGUUUAAUUCGAUGAUACGCGAGGAACCUUACCAGGGCUUAAAUGCAUAUUGACAGGGGUAGAGAUACCUUUUCCUUCGGGCAAUUUGCAAGGUGCUGCAUGGUUGUCGUCAGCUCGUGCCGUGAGGUGUCAGGUUAAGUCCUAUAACGAGCGCAACCCCUACCGUUAGUUGCCAGCAUGUCAUGAUGGGGACUCUAACGGGACUGCCGGUGCAAACCGUGAGGAAGGUGGGGAUGACGUCAAAUCAUCACGGCCCUUACGUCCUGGGCCACACACGUGCUACAAUGGCAGGUACAGAGAGCAGCCACGUCGCAAGGCGGAGCGAAUCUAUAAAACCUGUCACAGUUCGGAUCGGGGUCUGCAACUCGACCCCGUGAAGCUGGAAUCGCUAGUAAUCGGAUAUCAGCCAUGAUCCGGUGAAUACGUUCCCGGGCCUUGUACACACCGCCCGUCAAGCCAUGGAAGCCGGGAGUGCCUGAAGUCCGUCACCGUAAGGAGCGGCCUAGGGCAAGAUCGGUAACUAGGGCUAAGUCGUAACAAGGUA